AGAGUUUGAUUCUGGCUCAGAACGAACGCUGGCGGCGUGGAUAAGACAUGCAAGUCGUACGGGGAUAAGCGGGUGGCAACAUUGGCUUAUCCGAGUGGCGAAAGGGUGCGUAACACGUGGGUAAUUUGCCGUGAAAUCUGGGAUAACCCAUCGAAAGGUGAGCUAAUACCGGAUGGCAUCUUAGGGAGGCAUCUUCCGAAGAUUAAAGCUGGGGACCGCAAGGCCUGGCGUUUCACGAUAAGCCCGCGGCCUAUCAGCUUGUUGGUGGGGUAAUGGCCUACCAAGGCUCUGACGGGUAACUGGUCUGAGAGGACGAUCAGUCACACUGGAACUGAGACACGGUCCAGACACCUACGGGUGGCAGCAGUCGAGAAUCUUUCACAAUGGGCGCAAGCCUGAUGGAGCGACGCCGCGUGGGGGAUGAAGGGCUUCGGUUCGUAAACCCCUGUCAUCUGUGAGAAAUGCCUCUUUCUGAAUAGGAAAGAUGUUGAUAGUAGCAGAAGAGGAAGGGACGGCUAACUCUGUGCCAGCAGCCGCGGUAAUACAGAGGUCCCAAGCGUUGUUCGGAUUCACUGGGCGUAAAGGGUGUGUAGGCGGUGGGAAAAGUUUGAUGUGAAAUCUCCGGGCUCAACCCGGAAAAUGCAUUGAAUACUAUUCCACUAGAGGAUCGGAGGGGAGACUGGAAUUCUCGGUGUAGCAGUGAAAUGCGUAGAUAUCGAGAGGAACAUCAGUGGCGAAGGCGAGUCUCCGGACGAUUCCUGACGCUGAGGCACGAAAGCUAGGGGAGCGAACAGGAUUAGAUACCCUGGUAGUCCUAGCCGUAAACGGUGCACAUUUGCUAUAGGAGGAUUCGACCCCUUCUGUGGCGGAGCUAACGCGUUAAAUGUGCCGCCUGGGAAGUACGGCCGCAAGGUUAAAACUCAAAGAAAUUGACGGGGGCCUGCACAAGCGGUGGAGUAUGUGGCUUAAUUCGAUCCAACGCGAAGAACCUUACCUGGCCUUGACAUGUAAGUGGUAGGAGCCUGAAAGGGUGACGACCUCGCAAGAGGAGCUUACACAGGUGCUGCAUGGCUGUCGUCAGCUCGUGUCGUGAGAUGUUGGGUUAAGUCCCGCAACGAGCGCAACCCUCGUGUUCUGUUGCCACUCCCGCGCAAGCGGGAAGCACUCUGGACAGACUGCCUCGUCUAAACGAGGAGGAAGGUGGGGAUGACGUCAAGUCAGUAUGGCCCUUACGGCCAGGGCUGCACACGUACUACAAUGCCUGGCACAACGGGAAGCAAGACCGCAAGGUGGAGCAAAUCCCUUAAAACCAGGCCCAGUUCGGAUUGUCGGCUGCAACUCGCCGACAUGAAGUUGGAAUCGCUAGUAAUGGCGCAUCAGCUACGGCGCCGUGAAUACGUUCCCAGGCCUUGUACACACCGCCCGUCACAUCAUGAAAGCCGGUUGUACCCGAAGUCGCUGAGCUAACCGAAAGGAGGCAGGCGCCGAUGGUAUGGCUGGUGAUUGGGAUGAAGUCGGAACAAGGUA
rnacentral:rRNA from 1 species